rnacentral:lncRNA from 1 species
GGCCUUUGCCGGGUGUCUGGACGAGUGGCAUCCGGGAAAAAAAUAAUUAUUUGCCUGGUGCCUUGUUCACUAGCACCAGACAAACAUUUAUUUGCCUGGUGUAAUUAAAGGCACCAGGCAAAUUAAUUUUAUAUUUUUGUUUGUUUUUGCUCUAGUUUUUGUUUGUGACCUUUAUACAGUAAUUCAAACCCACUAUCAAAAUUUGAGACAAUUUUGACUUUUGUAAGCAUAUUUGGUUAAUUUUUUUUCUUUCGUUGCAUUUUUCGGACAACUCCAAAUUUGAACUGCAGGUACAUGAAAUAAUGCAUUAGGGUCAUUCAAAAAAUGAUAUCCAUGGUGUUUGGAGUAUGUCGAGGCCUUAUCCAGGAGCCCGCAUGAAAUUACCACCAUCAUGUCGUCGUGACAUGAGGAGGUAAUCGCGUAGAAAGAGUAUUUAAAUUAUAAAAAAUCCGAACGACGUCCGAAAAUCACGAAACUUGUCGAUGUGUCUUGGUAUCCCAUGUGGAGACUAUGAUAAAAAUUUGAGGAAGUUUCGAGUAAGUACUG